UACGUAGGGUGCAAGCGUUGUCCGGAAUUAUUGGGCGUAAAGAGCUCGUAGGCGGUCUGUCGCGUCGGCUGUGAAAACCCGGGGCUCAACCCCGGGCCUGCAGUCGAUACGGGCAGACUAGAGUGCGGUAGGGGAGAUUGGAACUCCUGGUGUAGCGGUGGAAUGCGCAGAUAUCAGGAAGAACACCGAUGGCGAAGGCAGAUCUCUGGGCCGUAACUGACGCUGAGGAGCGAAAGCAUGGGGAGCGAACAGG
rnacentral:rRNA from 1 species